rnacentral:lncRNA from 1 species
UUUGACUUCCACUGAAACUCUGUGAGUUAAGUUGGACACGUAUCAUGACUGAGACUGAAAGAUAAGUUUGUCAAGGCUACAUAGCUAAUGAAGUAGGCAAAAGCUGGUUUUGAUGGACAGCAACGUGGCCAUCCAUGAAACUAAACGCCCUAAUUCAGUUGCUGCUGAAUAUGACCAUGGACAACCAUUCUAUCCAAUGAGACAUAAAAAUAGAGGAAUUUAUUUGUUUUAAAACAUAUUUCUUUAUUGUCUUUUCCAUAUACUAUCUGAUAUAAACAAAAAAGAAUAGUUAUGUAAUAUAUGUAAGUCUUAAAGCAUAAUAGUUAUAUAAUGAAUACCUAUGAACCCACUACCUAACCCAAGGACUAGAACGUUACCAACAAUAACCAUAUACUUGUAACUUCUUUACCAUCCUACUGCUUCUUUCAAAGGAAACAUUAUACUAAAUUUUGUUAUUCAUGUCCAUGCCUUUUCUUUACAAUAGUUUGAUCUCACAUGUAUAUUAUACACACACACACACACACACACACACACCUUAACAAUGUAUUAUUUAGUUUUGCUAGCUACGAGUUAAAAAUGAUAUUACGUGCAAUGUGUCCUUCUGGGAGUUGCUUUUUUUUUUUUGUAUUUGAGACGGAGUUUUGCUCUUGUUGCCCAGGCUGGAGUGCAAUGGCGUGAUCUCUGCUCACGGCAACCUCCGCCUCCUGGGUUCAAGUGAUUCUCAUUCCUCAGCCUCCCAAGUAGCUGGAAUUACAGGCAUGUGCCACCACGCCCAGCUAAUUUUGUAUUUUUAGUAGAAACAGGGUUUCUCCAUGUUUCUCCCGACCUCAGGUGAUCCGCGCGCCUUGGCCUCCCAAAGUGCUGGGAUUACAGACGUGAGCCACUACGCCUGGCCAUAAUCUCUUUCUAAAAAGUAUCAAAGGUAUUGUUUACAGUAUUUGAGAGAUAUUUUUGAAGCCAAGGUUAAGUUUUACUUGAUUUCAUUUAAAAAUAAAAAAGAGACUUCCUGAUUCCCCUCACACACUGACCUCCUCAUAAGCAUGUAUGGGCACACAUGCACACUGACCCACACACUUAUCUCAAGAUUCCAGGUGGCAGAGGAACUGCUGGAUCAAAACACAUGUUCCACGGACCACAGGUUUACCAGGAAGGAACUGAAGCUGCUUGUAAGGUUAUUACACAACUUUUUCCUUGGAAUCACAAGCCAUACUGUGGUAUGAAGAGGAAAGUACCAAGGGCUCCAUGGUUAAGGUAUGUCCUCUUUCUGAUGGAUGGUUUUUGCAAAGGCUAUCAUUAUUGGGAAAUAACAAAUAAAAUAACUAAACCCAUACAUAACACAGAUUUCAGAUGUGGUCCUAAGAUUACACUUGGCAGGAAAAUAUUUCAGGCAGAGAUAUGCCUGAAGAGGAGAUGCUGAAAGUAACAAAGAUGAUCCAUGUCUGGAGGAUAGGGAAACCACAUAUCUCAGUUUGCCUGGAACAGUCCUAGCUUUAAAGUUUAAAGUCCUACAUCCUUAGAAGGCUCUCAAUCCUGAACAAAUUGGGAGAGCUGGUCAUCCUAACGCAGGAUGAUAGGAUGUGCAAAGUAAAACGAAGUUUAGCAAGGUGGGCAGAAGGCAUAUGUCAUGCAGAACUUCGCAAAUUAGGGUAAGAAGAUGGAUUCUAUUCUAAGUAUAAUCAGAAGUCAUAUGAUUAUCUUGAGAAAGGGGCGACAUGAUUUUUACUGUCAGCAUAGAGAUCACACAAUCAAUAAAUAUUUCUAUGACAGCACUUCAAGCAUCUAUAGCAUCUUACAUUUCACAGCCUCCUCCAUUUUAUUUUUUCAUAAAUACUCUUUUUCAACCUUUUAUUAAUCAUUUUAGAUGUUUUCUCUGAUCUUGCUCCAAGUUUUUCUCUUUGUUCAAGUUGUGGGGCCCCAAACUGGACCAGUUUAUAGAAUAAUCACACUGAUCUUUUCUUCAAGUAAAAACAGAAGGUCACUUGCCCAGCAGGUCUGAGCACUUAGAUCGCAGAGUAGUCUUCAAGAGAAGUCUAACUGGGCAUCAAUCUCAUGAGUCGGACUGUGUAAAACCCCUGAUCUCCCAGGCAAGGAACACAUGUGCAUAAACUACUCCAGGGCCCUUACUGCACCCACCUGGAAUGACCUAAUAUUCACAUUUUUAAUCUCUAAGUUUUUGCCCAUUAAGUUCUCAAAGAAAACACAUUUGAUUCGUGUCAAAUCUAUCUUGCCACUUCAUCUACAAAGUGUUCUUUCCAAGGGGCUGGGGACUGAUAUUCUGUUCUAUGAUUGCUAAGAAACCUAUCAGGUUUCAUUUCUCUAUAGAAUAAUAUAUUAUUUGCAUAAUACACAAAAAGUAAUGGAGAAAAUGGAAAACACAAUAUUUAAAAAUUGCAUAAACCAUAGAAAUGAGAUCCUGCUUUGUUUUUUAAAAUGUCGUUUUGCAAAGUAAUAUUUUCACUUACAUCCUGGCAACUAUUGACUUAUACAAUUUAUUUGUAUGUUCCAAUAUUAGAUUUGCAUCAAACCCAAAAUCUUGCUUUGCUUCAUUGGAGAUAUUUGGAUAAAUUCUUAAGUAUAGUUAUAUGUGAGGAAAAUGCAAAAAUAAUAUACACAUGUAGUCACGCACAAAAAGCUGAGAAUUAAAACAGCACGAAAACUCACAAGCAAGGCGUAGGUAAUGAUAGGUUACCAGUCAAAGUAAGCAACUAUUGUGUUACAAGUUACAAGUGUUUUAUGUGCAGAUCAAAUCUAAAUUGCACAGUUUUAAGCCGGAAACAGAUGAAUACCUUCACAUCAUAGAAGUGUUUUAAAUCAGAUUUGUAAAGUAUGUAAUCAUGAACUCCUGGAUGAUUUGAGUCAGAUAUUUAUUCCUAUUUCCAUCUAAAGCACCAAGCACAGUACUUGAAAAGUCACAUGGAUUUAUCAAAUUUCAAUAAAUUUAAAUUAGAACAUGUCUUUAUCCUUUAAAAAUCUGUACCAAUAUGAUAGGUAAAAAUACUUAUUCUCUUGUGUUUAGCUUAAUUUUUGAAAUAAUACUGAGAAAUACCUCCCUUGAGAGCCUGGUAUGCUAAAAUCUUGCUACUAAAAGCCAGACUUAGCUUAGGUCACUGAUAACUAGAAACUCAUGCAGAUAAUACAAAUUGUACUUUUUGCUUAUUUUGAUCUAUUUUUUAAAGUAUGUAUCUAAUGAGCUUCAAAGCUUAAGUUUUGUUUCUUUUUGCCCUAAUGGAAUGAUGAGUGGCAGAGCAGAGAAGUUAAAAAGGAUGUUUGAAAGCUAUAAAACAACAAUUUGGAUGAGAUAGAUGUUGUAUAGCCUUGCAAUAUUAACUUUGAAUUGGUCUGAUUAGAACAAACCUAGGAACAAACAUAUUCCUUUUCUCACCUCUUAAAUUUGCAGCUAAAUCUACAAUAUUAUGACCACUGACUAAAGUUGUCUAUGGAGAACCUGGUUAGCAAACAUUAAAAAAAUUACACUAUUUUUUCUCAUCAUUAUUCAGCAGUAAACACAGAAGGCAGUCUUUUAAUUAUAUUUAGCUAGACUGACAAUCUUGAGAUUAAAGACCCCCUAAGGAGUUCUCAUCAUUUUCCACCUGAAAGUAGAAUUAAAAGUAAAUACUUACAAAGAUCUCUACUUAUAAGACAAGAAGUGAGUUGGAAGUUACUGAUCUACUACACUUAGGUUAAUCAACAAAUGUGUAGAAAGACAGACAUAUAUGUAAUUUUUCUAAAGCUUGAAAGUCUUGCUACACAAGUAGUAGAAUCUACUAUCAAUACCAGACAUUGUUUAUGCUAUUUUCUAGCCAUAUUACCUUAGGUUCUAUAUAUCAUAAACAAAAUAUAGUCAUCUCUUGGUAUAUAAGGGUGAUUGGUUCCAGGACCACCCACAGGUAACUAAAUCUGCACAUGCUCAAGUCCUACAGUUGAUCCUGUGGAAGCCUUGUAUACAGAAAGUCAACCCUCCCUACAUGCAGGCUUUGGACUCUCAGAUACUGUAUUCUUGAUCGGUAUUGGUUGAAAGAAAUCCACCUAUAAGUGGACACUUGCUGUUCAAACCUGUGUUGUUCAAAUGUUGACUGCAGAUUCCAAUUCUCCCUUUGCAUCUGUAGUUGCUUAAUAAGUAUUAAGUGAAUAAAUGAACUGAUGAUUGGGUGACUAGAACAAAAAUAUUGUGCUUCCUUCUCCCCUGCAAUUAAAUGAGCUCAACACAGACAGUCACAGAAGUGUACUCCCCUGGCUUUUCUCCAUAUUAAAUCUUUUACUUUUACGGAAGUUCAAAGUUUCAUAAAAGUCCUAAUCAUUAGCAUUUCCCUCUUAUUGGUGCAUGAGGUGAUGGUCACCAGAUGUGAA